AAAUAUUUUUGAUUUUCACAAAAUUUCGUCGUAGAAGGACACAUUUCACUUAUUCACGCAACAUGUCGGCACUGUUGACAUGAGUCAUUGCAAGUGUGGUGUCGAUGGACAGCUGAGAUUUCCAGCAUUUCAGAAUUACCCAUUUUAAU